CGGAAUUACUGGGCGUAAAGGGCUCGUAGGUGGCCAACUAAGUCAGACGUGAAAUCCCUCGGCUUAACCGGGGAACUGCGUCUGAUACUGGAUGGCUUGAGUUUGGGAGAGGGACGCGGAAUUCCAGGUGUAGCGGUGAAAUGCGUAGAUAUCUGGAGGAACACCGGUGGCGAAGGCGGCGUCCUGGACCAACACUGACACUGAGGAGCGAAAGCCAGGGGAGCAAACGUG
rnacentral:rRNA from 1 species